CCUACGGGUGGCAGCAGUGAGGAAUAUUGGUCAAUGGACGAGAGUCUGAACCAGCCAAGUAGCGUGAAGGAUGACUGCCCUAUGGGUUGUAAACUUCUUUUAUAUGGGAAUAAAAUGUUCCACGUGUGGGAUUUUGUAUGUACCAUAUGAAUAAGGAUCGGCUAACUCCGUGCCAGCAGCGGCGGUAAUACGGUGGAUCCGAGCGUUAUCCGGAUUUAUUGGGUUUAAAGGGAGCGUAGGUGGAUUGUUAAGUCAGUUGUGAAAGUUUGCGGCUCAACCGUAAAAUUGCAGUUGAAACUGGCAGUCUUGAGUACAGUAGAGGUGGGCGGAAUUCGUGGUGUAGCGGUGAAAUGCUUAGAUAUCACGAAGAACUCCGAUUGCGAAGGCAGCUCACUGGACUGCAACUGACACUGAGGCGCGAAAGCGUGGGGAGCAAACAGGAUUAGAUACCCUUGUAGUC
rnacentral:rRNA from 1 species